UGGCGGCGUGCCUAAUACAUGCAAGUCGAACGGUCUUUCUAUGGAAGCUUGCUUCCACUGAGAAGAUAGUGGCGAACGGGUGAGUAACACGUGGGUAACCUGCCCAUAAGAGGGGGAUAACAUCCGGAAACGGGUGCUAAUACCGCAUAGUUUUCUUGAUCGCAUGAUUGAGAAAGGAAAGACGGCCUUUGUGCUGUCGCUUAUGGAUGGACCCGCGGCGUAUUAGUUAGUUGGUGAGGUAAUGGCUCACCAAGACGAUGAUACGUAGCCGACCUGAGAGGGUGAUCGGCCACAUUGGGACUGAGACACGGCCCAAACUCCUACGGGAGGCAGCAGUAGGGAAUCUUCCGCAAUGGACGAAAGUCUGACGGAGCAACGCCGCGUGAGUGAAGAAGGUUUUUUCGGAUCGUAAAACUCUGUUGUCAGAGAAGAACAAGUUGGAGAGUAACUGCUCCAGCCUUGACGGUAUCUGACCAGAAAGCCACGGCUAACUACGUGCCAGCCGCUGC
rnacentral:rRNA from 1 species